AUGGGAAUAAAAGCAGGCUGCUGGAGCCAGUAAUGGUGACACCCUUGGGUUGUUCUCCGUGGUGUGGAGGCUUUGUUCUUUUGCUCUUUGUGAUAGAUGUAAUUGCUGCUCACUCUUCGGGUCUGUACUGCGUUUAUGAGCUGUGACACUCGCCGCGAAGGUCUGCAGCUUCACUUCUGAGCCAGCGAGAGGAGGAACCCACCAGAAGGAAGAAAACGCGGAACACAUCCGAACAUCAGAAGGAACAAACUCCAGACACGCCGCCUUUAAGAACUGUAACAGUCACCGCGAGGGUCCGUGGUUUCAUUCUUGAAGUAAGUGAGACCAAGAACCUGCCAAUUUCAGACACAAUGGAGAGCGCCAGUCCUGCUGCGGGGCCAUACAUGUAUUUAAUUUGCUCUCAUCUUCCCCCUCUUCCGAGAGGAAGGUGCUUUCACCUGCACUGUUCCCAUGAGGAAAUGAGGCUUCGGGAAUCUGAUAAAGCUUCCAAACUCCCGUGGCCGGCAGGAACCAAGGUUUCGAUGGCCGGACUUUUCAGCUCCCCAGGCGGAAAAGCAGGAGGCAUGAUAGAUGAGGGUGAGAGUGCAUGUCAGGUCAGGCUGAGAAGACGAUAAUGCCAUAUGGUUUUUUCCACUUAGCUUAGCUCCAGGAUGACUUUGAACAGUGUUACAGCCCCAUGGGCAGAAAAUUGCACUUGCCUCAAGCUUCAUUAAAGCAAAUCGAGUCAGAAGGGAUUGAAACACCUGGAAGAAAUACAAUGGAUUCAAACAGGGAAAAGGUGUGGGUCCGUUCCUUUUCCUGGUAAAUCCAGCAGCCUAGGAGACGUCACAAAAACAUUCCAAGGCUCCUGGACUUUUAAAGAGGCUAAGGAUGGGGCCUGCCAGGUACAGGAUGGCCCAUGCAGGUGGAGACGCAGCCACAGGAUACCUGGGUUUCAUUGCAGCCUCGUCACUUACCAGUGUUGGGACUGUAUCAGUUAUCCCGAAUUUAACAGCCUAAAGCCAUAUUCGUCAUCUUAUACUCUGUAGGGGUAGGGAAUCCAGGAGUGGUUUCACCAGGAGGUUCUGGCUGGGUGUCUCCCCGGAGCCGCAGGCGAGUGUGGGCCGUGGCAGCCAUCCCUGUUUCCAAGCGCACCGUGUGGUAGUUGGCUUGAGGCUCCAGGUCCUUGAGGUGCAGGCUUCCCCACGGGGCUGCUCGCGGCAUGGCUUCCUCACCCAGAGUGAUGGAUCCGAGAGAGAGCAGCCGAAUUGAAAGCCACAGCCUUUUGUAAGCAAACCUCAGAAGUGACAUCUCGUCACAUCUGCCAUAUUCUACUGGUCGCACAGACCUAUCCCGCUACAUGGAAGGAGCAGCAGGAAGGUGGUGGGGACUGCUGGGACCAUCUUGGAGGCUGCCACAGACAUCCAAGCCCCUCCAGGCAGGACAAACCAGGAUGAGAGGACAGUGUCGGGGUGUAGCUGCCACCACCCAGUGUCGUCCAAGGAAAAUGGAGCAACCACAUCCUGCACGGCAACACCAGGUGGCCAAGCCAGAGCGUGGGACCACUUGCCGCUUCCCACCCACAGCAAAGAGGAGUGCAGGCUCUGCUGAUUCUCACGCACGUACAAGACAGACUUCUUUUCGGUAAAGAAAGGAAGGAAAGCGCUGCAGGUUCCACCAGAGGCUUUUAUUUCAGCCACUCAGGACCCUGGCUUUCUGCUCCAAGGCACUGAACACAGUCAGGCUCUUCUAAACACUGGCAGGGACCUCUCCCACAGCCGCCCCCACAGGGUUCUCUGUUUCCCAAGUCCUGAUGGAUUCAGGCAACACCUUCACACAUUCACCCACUACCUGCUGGACAGGAGGGUCAUGAGGCAGCCUGUGGUGCCCAGCUCAGUGUGACACACUGCCAGUGUGCCGCCUCCCCCAGCCUCUGAUGGGGGGCCAGGCCUUGACCACGUGACAGGCUCAAGCUGCCGUGCACAUCCCCCACGAAAGGGGAAGAGCUGCUAAGGUUUAGCAGUGACCAAACAAAUAAGAAAUGCUACUGUGGAGGUUACACAGAUGCUUAUUUAGUUUUUAAACAAAUCCAACACAAAAGAAAGAGGCAACAGGGUGCUUGAAGGUAGGGGAGGAGAGGGAAUCUCAUCUGUAAAGUGCUUUUCCAGACACCGGAACCUCCUAGUCUAGCCUGGCACACCCACGUCACUCGGAAAGGUCGGGCUCAGGGUGGAGAUGGCAUGCAAUUCCCAACACACUUGGUAUUCAGAGUGGACAGAGCUACACAGCAGCCUCCCCUUUGUCGGGGUCCACGCAAUCUACACGUGGUCGCAAGGUCUCUGCAGCCACAGUCUGCACACGUGGGCACAGACGGCACUGGUGCAUGCCUGUCGGGCUGGGGCCACACUGGGGAAGGGCCUCACAGCAACAUGCACUGGAAGCUCCUCGUGGCGGACCAUCCUCAGGCCGCCGACAGGAACGGGAAGAAAAAGAAGUCGAAGGCGAACUUCACGGCGCCAUGCACGGUGCUGCGCCAGUCGUGCUCGAUCUUUACGUGCCGCCUGGUGGGCGAGAGCUGGGCCAUGCAGUUGAGGCAGCUGAUGGCCUUGAGCUCGAAGACAGGCCACUUGCUGCCCAGGCGGCCCUCCAGGAUGGUGCUGAACUCGAUGAGGCUGCCCUGGCGCAGGCUGAGCAGCACGCUCUUGAACUCGCUGCUGGCCCGCAGCACGAUGUCCUUGGUCACGUCAUCCUCCUCGCGGCUGCGCGAGCCGUCGGCGCCGCUGCUGAAGGGCAUGCCCACGGUGAUCUCAAACUUGUAGCGGUCGAACUUCUUGAUGUGGCAGGGGUGCUUGGCCAGCAGCUUAAGGCGACAGAGCUCCUCCUCGGCCGUGGAGGUGUUGCCAGGGCUGCAGGCAGGGUAGGCCUCGCCGUAGAGGCAGCGCAUCCAGUCGCCGAUGAAGAACGGGAGCAUGUUGAUGGCAGACUCGGCGCUGUUGUCGAUGUCAGUCACGCGGACGUACUUGAAGCGGCCGGUCCACGUGACCCUGUGGCCCUCCAGGUGGCUGCAGAGGAUCUGGGUGCGCGCCAUGUUGGUCUCCUUCCAGGCGCGUGGCCCGCACAGCGCACCAUACUGCUGCCAGGUCAGUGUGGAGUUGUAGACCUUCAUGCCCUCUGAGCGGUACACAUAGAACCAGCAGAACAGCACGAUGGCCGUGAGCCACACCAGGAUGAGCUUGACCAUGGAGCUCCGCGUCAGGGACUUCACCAUCCCCACCACAGAGAAGCUGGCCUUGGUCCACCAGCGCAACAGCAGGGGCACACUACAGACCGCCACGGUGACUGCGAUCUUGGUGAGCUCCAGAGACGUGAACCACCGGGCGAACUGCAGCACGCCCACCAGGGCCAGGCCGGCCACCAGGAUGGGGAGGGCAAAGAGGAAGAGGAAGUAGCCGAUGGAGGCGCGGAGCAGCCCCAGGCCGGUGGACUCCAGCAGGAUGACCACGGAGAGCUCACACCACAUGAAGCACACCAG